GAGGUGCCCCGGUCCCUAGCAGGCAGUACGUCCAACUGGGGACUGACUGUUGCCAAUUUGUAGCUGCCUCCUCACGCUGUUUUUGUGUGUGUGUGGGCAUGUGGCGUUUCCCUCCACCUGGGAGAAUAUGCAGGCGGUUAGGGCCCGCCCUAGCUCCACAAGCCUGUAGACCCAACGCCUGCUGAAGGGGUGCCUACUGCGCCUACACCUGCAGAGCUCUUCAGGGUAGGUGGGGAUCUGGAAAAAGGCCCCGGGUCCAGGAAGGGCUGACCACACGAUGCAGGCUCUAGGGGAACGAGAUGUCUGCCUAAUUGUAACCCCUAACCAGACAAUGGCGCCCAUCAUCCACUGAAGGCCACUUGGAGGGGACCCACCGCCUUGCCAGGGCCGGGCGGGCUGCCCAGAGUGUCCUCCAAUAAGACACACCUAGGAGCCCUGGUUGCUGGAGAGGCUGCGGCUACUUGGGGCUUGAUGCAGGAGGGUUAACUGCACUUGCAGGUCCCGAAUAUCCCCCUGGAGCAAGAGGAAACAGGUCCUAGACUUGGGGCCCGCAUGGAGACAGGCCCGGCUCAGGAACGGCAGGUCACUAUGAAGUGCUAUUAUGGGAAACAAAGCAAUGUCCAAUGCCCUACCUAUAAAAAGGAGGACAUCCCCCUGAAGCCAGAUAUCUCAAGACCCCUGAAGCCUUGCUCGGUGGGACAAGAGCGUCUUAGAAUAAGAGACACCUGGAACCCUUGUUCCUGGAGAAGGCCAGAUCUCCAUCAGGCAGAAAGUCCAAAUGGCGACUGACUGUGAGCAAUUUGCCACUGCCGCCUCAGAGUGAUAUUUGCAGGGUGGGCUCCCUCCCCGCUGGAGCCUAUGCUGGUGUUUGGGUUCGAAACUAGCUCCAUAGGCCGGGAGGACCGCAGCUGCUGUAGGCCGGCUGAUGGGAUGCGUUCUGCGCAUGCGCGAGCCGUGCAGUUCCUGGUAGCCAAGGACCACGAACAGGGCAAGAGUGGGGAGAGGUGGGGUUGCAGGAGCAGGACCUUGGGGAACAAGGCCUCUGCCUAAUUCCGAACGCUAAGCUACACAAAGUGCCUGUUCCCCCUGACGGCAGAACAUGAGGAUACCGGCGUGGGCGGGCUGGCUGCUGUAUCCUGCAAUAAGACACACCUGGCAGCCCUGGUUGCUGAGAAGCAGAGACCUCAUCAAACAUGAUACAGUGGACAUUGAAGUGCACCACCCAGGUUGCUCCUUCCAUUCAUUUGCCAGCUGCCGGAGGACAGCUCCUGAUAGAUCCUGAGAACUGCACUUGGAUAAAAAAGACAAGUGGCUGCACUGCAGAUGAUGAGCUAGAGUGGGAUGCAGCGGAAGUACAAGAGGCGAUCAGAGCGUGAACUAAACAGCAGUGGCAGUGGAAAUGGGAUAAAGACUUUUAAAAAACCAAAAUAAAAAUGAAUCCACAGGAAAAUAAAUGGACACUCUUGGAUGUCUUUGGCAAUUCCACAUUGCAAUAAAAUUUCUAAAUGAUAACUCUCAAAUAAUGUGUUGAUCUUGUGACAGACUGUAUCAGUUUGCAAUCUUCCAUCAGCCCGCAGAUCCAGUUUUAAGAAGCAUUGCUUUUGAGAAUAUUUUUUUGGCUAAGAUUUUUCCUGCUUUGGAGUUUGACUUGUAUAAUUACAGAGUUAAUGCUAGAGAAAAACUUCUAACAUCGUACAGCAAUAAAUUAUUCAGAUUUCAUAUUAAGGUAUGCAUUUUUGAUCACUUUGUUGGCAGGUCCGAAUACUAUGGAUCUGACAUUUUUAGGAGUGGAAUACUAUUUAGCUGCCAUAGACAAACUCAAACUAACUUCAAUUAAAACAAAAAGAGCUACUGGAAGGACAGUUUGGCGAUGUGGUGGGUCACAGAAUCCGAGCAGUUGUCCAGAAUGGCAGGGAUGGCACGAGGACUCCAAAACACUCGGCGCUCAUAACUCAGAGAACCACAUUAAUUCUCCCUGGGGUUUUUUUGUUGUGUAUAAGGUUGUGUAUUAGCUUUCCUCUUCUCUUCUCCCUCUGCUUGUCUUGGGUACGUGGGAUACAGACGCUGAAGAUGCUGUACACCUGGUAUCUCUUCAAUCGCCAAUAAGAAGCUCACACAACUCUCUCUUGCUCAGUCUCCAGACACAAAAAUUGCCAAUAGUGCAGUAGGAUGCUGUGAAUAACCCAGCUUGACCAAGUGUCUACCCUUGGACAGAGGCCACAUUACUAGAGGAGACUGCAAUCCAAGAUUGAGGAUAGAAUUGUAAAAAUGACACAUUGUGUCCACUCCUUGAUGAAACUCAAGACAUAUCAGCUACCCUAAGAUGAAUGAAAUAAUUUAUCAAAUCCACGCUUGCAGGGAAUUUUCUAAACUUACAAGCAGUGGAAGAUAUCAUGAAAGCCAGGACACAUGCAUUUGAUUACCUAAGAAGGAAAAAACAGUCUUGCAUCAUAAGAAUCCACCCCCAAUAAAAAGAUAAUCGACAAAUAGAAAACAAAAUGCAAUAAAUGUAAUGAAAAGUACUCUCUUAAUAUGCUCAGAAUGAUUUCAAAUUGAUAAGAAAAACAAGUUAAUAGGGUAGAUAAUAUAGGGUGAAUCUUACCAAUUUCAGAAAAAAAACUAUUUACAAACUGAUUUUGGGUAUGAUUUUCAUAUCUAUACACACCCAAAUGUGUAUAUAUAUUAUUGCUAUAUAGCAAUAUAUUUUCAAUAAAAG
rnacentral:lncRNA from 1 species